rnacentral:rRNA from 1 species
GAUGAACGCUAGCGGCGGGCUUAAUACAUGCAAGUCGAGGGGCAGCACGAUGUAGCAAUACAUUGGUGGCGACCGGCGGACGGGUGCGUAACACGUAUGCAACUUGCCCUAUACUAGGGAAUAGCCCGAAGAAAUUCGGAUUAAUACCCUACAACAUCCGGGAAGGCACCUUUCUGGGUUCAAAGCUCCGGCGGUAUAGGAUGGGCAUGCGGUCGAUUAGCUUGUUGGUGAGGUAACGGCGCACCAAGGCGACGAUCGAUAGGGGGCCUGGGAGGGUGAGCCCCCACACUGGGACGGAGACACGGACCAGACUCCUACGGGAGGCAGCAGUAAGGAAUAUUGGUCAAUGGGCGCAAGCCUGAACCAGCCACGCCGCGUGAAGGAAGACGGCCCUAUGGGUUGUAAACUUCUUUUCUACGGGAAUAAACCUCAGGACGUGUCCUGAGCUGAAGGUAUCGUAGGAAUAAGGAUCGGCUAACUCCGUGCCAGCCGCCGCAGUAAAAC